AAGGGCGAACGCUUCGAUGGUCCCGCGCGAGCGGGUUAAUAGGGAAUACCGUCACGCACUGGGCAGAUGACCGUCCAGAGGCAUAGUCGGUGGCUGCUCCCGCAACUGUAGGCGGUAUGCUGCUGGUUCGUUCACCUUGAACGUGGACCACUGUUCCCAUAGGGGCGGGAAGGUUGGAACCAGUCGGCCAUGAUCCGUGAGCCAGGAGACCUGCCAUCGUUCAGCCACCAAC
rnacentral:ncRNA from 2 species